GACGAACGCUGGCGGCGUGCUUAACACAUGCAAGUCGAACGGUAAGGCCCUUCGGGGUACACGAGUGGCGAACGGGUGAGUAACACGUGGGUGAUCUGCCCUGCACUUCGGGAUAAGCCUGGGAAACUGGGUCUAAUACCGGAUAGGACCACUGCCUGCAUGGGUGGUGGUGGAAAGCUUUUGCGGUGUGGGAUGGGCCCGCGGCCUAUCAGCUUGUUGGGGGGGUGAUGGCCUACCAAGGCGACGACGGGUAGCCGGCCUGGGAGGGGGACCGGCCACACGGGGACUGAGAUACGGCCCAGACUCCUACGGGAGGCAGCAGUGGGGAAUAUUGCACAAUGGGCGCAAGCCUGAUGCAGCGACGCCGCGUGAGGGAUGACGGCCUUCGGGUUGUAAACCUCUUUCAGCACCGACGAAGCGCAAGUGACGGUAGGUGCAGAAGAAGGACCGGCCAACUACGUGCCAGCCGCCGCAGUAA
rnacentral:rRNA from 1 species